ACGGGUGAGUAACGCGUGGGAACGUGCCUUCCGGUUCGGAAUAACCCUGGGAAACUAGGGCUAAUACCGGAUACGCCCUUAUGGGGAAAGGUUUACUGCCGGAAGAUCGGCCCGCGUCUGAUUAGCUAGUUGGUGGGGUAACGGCCUACCAAGGCGACGAUCAGUAGCUGGUCUGAGAGGAUGAUCAGCCACACUGGGACUGAGACACGGCCCAGACUCCUACGGGAGGCAGCAGUGGGGAAUAUUGGACAAUGGGCGCAAGCCUGAUCCAGCCAUGCCGCGUGAGUGAUGAAGGCCUUAGGGUUGUAAAGCUCUUUUAUCCGGGACGAUAAUGACGGUACCGGAGGAAUAAGCCCCGGCUAACUUCGUGCCAGCAGCCGCGGUAAUACGAAGGGGGCUAGCGUUGCUCGGAAUCACUGGGCGUAAAGGGCGCGUAGGCGGCGUUUUAAGUCGGGGGUGAAAGCCUGUGGCUCAACCACAGAAUGGCCUUCGAUACUGGGACGCUUGAGUAUGGUAGAGGUUGGUGGAACUGCGAGU
rnacentral:rRNA from 1 species